rnacentral:lncRNA from 1 species
AUGAGCUCUUUAUAUAUUUUGGAUAUUAACCCCUUAUCAGACCUACCAUUUGCACGUAUCUUCUCCCAUUCAGCAGGUGGCGUGUGCACGAGUGCGUGCACUGGCAGUGGCUGUCUCUGGCCUGAUCAGAGACAGGACUGGCAUCCACCCAGCUCUGUUCGAAGUGUGCACACUCUAUUUGGCAAAGCAGCCUCUGCCUUCGUGGGAAGCAGCGUAGGAGCCAGAGAGUCUGAAGCAGGAAACUACUGCGUGCUGGCUCAAUUCCUCUUUCAUCAGGACUUCCCUGGUGGCUCAGACGGUAAAGCAUCUGUCCACAGUGCAGGAGACCUGGGUUUGAUCCCUGGGUCGGAAGAUCCUCGGGAGAAGGAAAUGACACCCCACUCCAGUACUCUUGCCUGGAAAACCCCAUGGACGGAGGAGCAUAGUAGGCUACAAUCCAUGGGGUCGCAAAGAAUCGGACACGACUGCGCGACCUCACUUCACUUCGUUCCCUCUUUCAUUGGCAUAGGUGGGGCUGUAUGUGUGUGCACACUUCAUAAAAAAUACGAUGGGAAUUUUUUUUUCUGAAAAAAGCAAAGAGAGGAAAGAACUCUGUGAUAAAGCAAUUGAUGGGCUCUAAAGAAUUUCUGAUUUUCUAUGAGGCUUGGGGGCCCAUCUUGGUCCAGGAGGAGGCUCACAAGCUCCUCUUAUCUGUAAUAAAAUCAACUUUAUAGACCAAUGGUCUUUCCUUUCUUUAGGAUCAUUGGGCCCAUGAUAAUCUGAUGAAGCUGGAAAUCCUCUCCUCAGGAAGGAAAAAAACUGUCACCUAAUUUUUGCAUAUAAUUGGAAGAAAACUUUUUCCCUCCAAAAUUCUAGAAGAGUAUAUGGGCUCCUUGACACCCAUCCACAGAAUCUUAUUUAAGAACCCC